UGCAAGUCGAGGGGUAACGGGGUGCUUGCACCGCCGACGACCGGCGCACGGGUGCGUAACGCGUAUACAAUCUACCUUGUAGAGGGGAAUAGCCCAGAGAAAUUUGGAUUAAUGCCCCAUAGUAUUAUUAGAUAGCAUUAUUUGAUAAUUAAACAUUUAUGGCUACAAGAUGAGUAUGCGUUCUAUUAGUUAGUAGGUAAGGUAACGGCUUACCUAGACUUCGAUAGAUAGGGGUCCUGAGAGGGAGAUCCCCCACACUGGUACUGAGACACGGACCAGACUCCUACGGGAGGCAGCAGUGAGGAAUAUUGGACAAUGGGCGAGAGCCUGAUCCAGCCAUGCCGCGUGCAGGAAGACGGCCCUAUGGGUUGUAAACUGCUUUUAUAGAGGAAGAAACACUCCUACGUGUAGGAGCUUGACGGUACUCUACGAAUAAGGAUCGGCUAACUCCGUGCCAGCAGCCGCGGUAAUACGGAGGAUCCAAGCGUUAUCCGGAAUCAUUGGGUUUAAAGGGUCCGUAGGCGGGACAAUCAGUCAGCGGUGAAAGUCUGUGGCUCAACCAUAGAAUUGCCAUUGAUACUGUUGUUCUUGAAUACUUAUGAAGUGGUUGGAAUAUGUAGUGUAGCGGUGAAAUGCAUAGAUAUUACAUAGAACACCGAUUGCGAAGGCAGAUCACUAAUAAGUCAUUGACGCUGAUGGACGAAAGCGUGGGUAGCGAACAGGAUUAGAUACCCUGGUAGUCCACGCCGUAAACGAUGGUUACUAGCUGUUCGGUCGCAAGACUGAGUGGCUAAGCGAAAGUGAUAAGUAACCCACCUGGGGAGUACGUUCGCAAGAAUGAAACUCAAAGGAAUUGACGGGGGCCCGCACAAGCGGUGGAGCAUGUGGUUUAAUUCGAUGAUACGCGAGGAACCUUACCAGGGCUUAAAUGUAGAUUGACAGGGGUGGAAACACCUUUUCCUUUCGGGCAAUUUACAAGGUGCUGCAUG
rnacentral:rRNA from 1 species